UACGUAGGGGGCAAGCGUUGUCCGGAUUUAUUGGGCGUAAAGAGCGUGUAGGCGGCCAGACAGGUCUGCUGUGAAAACUCGAGGCUCAACCUCGAGACGCCGGUGGAAACCGUCUGGCUAGAGUCCGGAAGAGGAGAGUGGAAUUCCUGGUGUAGCGGUGAAAUGCGUAGAUAUCGGGAGGAACACCAGUAGCGAAGGCGGCACUCUGGGCCGGUACUGACGCUGAGGAGCGAAAGCGUGGGGAGCGAACAGG
rnacentral:rRNA from 1 species